AGAAAAUUCAGAGGAAGGAGGAAAGAAAGCGGUGUUCCUAUGAGCUCGACAUGUUUUCUGUUUAAUAGGAGACUCUAAACUGACGUAGAGGAGAGAAGAGAAAGAUUUCACUCUGACCCAUAAGUGGCUGGAGCGGAAAGAUGGCUUCGGACAUUUCCCGUGUUUCAGACGCUGCUCCUCCUCCUCCUCCUCCUCCUCAGCAGACGAACCGGCAGCCGAGGCUGAUCACGUGCUCAGAAUUAGUGUGAGGCUAUGAGGUUCCUCUUUGCUCCCCCGUUUGUGGGCAAAGCCGAUGUGUAUUAUUAAGUGAUUCUGUAUCCAGCCUUCCCACGAAAAUAAACCAGUGAAACCACCUGUGAGCCACACGUGCAGUUCACAAGAUGACAGAGGACACCACAAUCUGCAAGAUUACUUCAACACAGAGAAGGAGACCAAAUUUCAGCUAAGCCCCUGUCACCACCACUGGGAGCUUCUGGGCAAGGGGUCCGCAAGGUUUAUGUGACUUUGUG